rnacentral:rRNA from 1 species
UACGUAGGGCGCAAGCGUUAUCCGGAAUUAUUGGGCGUAAAGAGCUCGUAGGCGGUUUGUCGCGUCUGCCGUGAAAGUCCGGGGCUCAACUCCGGAUCUGCGGUGGGUACGGGCAGACUAGAGUGAUGUAGGGGAGACUGGAAUUCCUGGUGUAGCGGUGAAAUGCGCAGAUAUCAGGAGGAACACCGGUGGCGAAGGCGGAUCUCUGGGCCUUGCCUGACGCUGAGGCGCGAAAGUGUGGGGAGCGAACAGG